GAAAGUGAGCUCUGCGUUCAUUUCAAAGUGUCGGUUCAGUUGUGGGCAUGCCCAGUAGACUUCGCCGUGUAGAGUGUAGCCUGAACAAAAAAAACAAAAAAAAAUCUUGUCUCUAAAUUUGAACAAGAGCGAGAGAGAGGAGAGUGGAGUUUUGUGCCGCUGCUGUUGUAGUGAAAACGUGGAGAGGAGACGCACAGAAGAAACCUGCAAGAGGAGAAUUAACAACAACCUAAAGCUUACUCUGUCGUCCAGUAACGCAACCGGCGAAACGGCAGAAACAACUACUUCAAAACGCAGCCUGGACGGAGUUGAAGUGUGAAAUUUGAGACCAGUCCUGUGUUGACUCUGCUGUCCAGGGAGGAACAACAAUACGAAGAGCAGCACAGUCACCCUGCAGUAUUUCGUCAUUGGAGAAACGUCACUACUCAACUCUGAAGACUUGUGGAUAUUCACAAAGGCUGGAGGAACAGCGGACACGAGCAGGCAUCCAGGUCCGAAAGGCUGGGAGGGGAGAGGCAAAGGAAAAGCAGAGGAUUGAUGGAACAAACUCGCUCUAAGGAUGCUGAAUCACAAAUUAGAAGACCUCGUUUUUGGAUUUUACUGGAAACAAAAAACCUGCAAUGAACUUCAAAACGCCAAAAACACUUCUGAUAAACGUUUAAUCUGAAAUACCUGCCACUUCCUGUUGAAACUGUUGUACUAUGGGUGGUCAAUUUGAUGUUUUAAAACUCUAUAAACCUACUUCACAACGUGUUGAUGCAUUAUUUUCUACAGUCUGAACCUUCCUACUCAAAUCACACAACUUCGACUGUCAUCUUUUGCUUUUCAACACUUUGUAUCUCAAACGCAGGACUAAACGGCUCCUGUUCACACAAUGGGUCUGUAAAUAGAGGACGCCUGUUUUGUUAAUGUAAGUGUGUGUAUCCUUUUGUGUUUGGGUUUGUAUUUAUGUUGUACUUUUAUGUGCUGGAAGUGACUUGACAAAAUCAAACUCUGCAGAACAAAGGACUGUCCCCAGAGCAGAGUUUAAGUUAUAACUCACAGUAUUUACUAUUAUUUUGUCUUAUUCUAUUUAUAACUGGGUAGUCACAUUGUCAAGUCAUAUGUUGUUGUAUUUUUAAAUGUAAUAAACUUUUUACGACUCCUGCAAAUCAGACAAGUGUAUUUUUAAUGUGUGUUUCUGUGUUUCUGCUCACAAAGUGGCCUGUGUCUAAAGCUCACAAUAAU